CUGAAUGGGGAAAAAGAAUUCCCUGGAAUUCUAAUGGCCAUUGAACAAGGCAAAUCUCCACUAAGUAAGGUAACCUGGAACAGGUUACAUUAAACUAAGCCCUGGAACAGGGUAAAUCUCUAAGGAAGGUAACCUGGAACAGGUUACAUAACUAAGCCCUGGAACAGGGUACAUCUCAACUAAGGGAGGUAACCUGGAACAGGUUAUAUAACUAAGCCCUGGAACAGGGUACAUCUCAACUA